rnacentral:rRNA from 1 species
UUGACAUCCAGCGAACUUGGCAGAGAUGCCUUGGUGCCUUCGGGAACGCUGAGACAGGUGCUGCAUGGCUGUCGUCAGCUCGUGUUGUGAAAUGUUGGGUUAAGUCCGCAACGAGCGCAACCCUUAUCCUUUGUUGCCAGCGAUUCGGUCGGGAAACUCAAAGGAGACUGCCGGUGAUAAACCGGAGGAAGGUGGGGAUGACGUCAAGUCAUCAUGGCCCUUACGAGUAGGGCUACACACGUGCUACAAUGGCGCAUACAAAGAGAAGCGACCUCGCGAGGGCAAGCGGACCUCAUAAAGUGCGUCGUAGUCCGGAUCGGAGUCUGCAACUCGACUCCGUGAAGUCGGAAUCGCUAGUAAUCGUGGAUCAGAAUGCCACGGUGAAUACGUUCCCGGGCCUUGUACACACCACCCGUCACACCAUGGGAGUGGGUUGCAAAAGAAGUAGGUAGCUUAACCCUCGGGAGGGCGCUUACCACUUUGUGAUUCAUGACUGGGGUGAAGUCGUAACAAGGUAAGCGUAGCGAG